UCUGGAAAGGCGUGCGAUACAGGGUGACAGCCCCGUACACAAAAAUGCACAUACUGUGAGCUCGAUGAGUAGGGCGGGACACGUGGUAUCCUGUCUGAAUAUGGGGGGACCAUCCUCCAAGGCUAAAUACUCCUGACUGACCGAUAGUGAACCAGUACCGUGAGGGAAAGGCGAAAAGAACCCCGGCGAGGGGAGUGAAAAAGAACCUGAAACCGUGUACGUACAAGCAGUGGGAGCACGCUUAGGCGUGUGACUGCGUACCUUUUGUAUAAUGGGUCAGCGACUUAUAUUCUGUAGCAAGGUUAACCGAAUAGGGGAGCCGAAGGGAAACCGAGUCUUAACUGGGCGUUAAGUUGCAGGGUAUAGACCCGAAACCCGGUGAUCUAGCCAUGGGCAGGUUGAAGGUUGGGUAACACUAACUGGAGGACCGAACCGACUAAUGUUGAAAAAUUAGCGGAUGACUUGUGGCUGGGGGUGAAAGGCCAAUCAAACCGGGAGAUAGCUGGUUCUCCCCGAAAGCUAUUUAGGUAGCGCCUCGUGAAUUCAUCUCCGGGGGUAGAGCACUGUUUCGGCAAGGGGGUCAUCCCGACUUACCAACCCGAUGCAAACUGCGAAUACCGGAGAAUGUUAUCACGGGAGACACACGGCGGGUGCUAACGUCCGUCGUGAAGAGGGAAACAACCCAGACCGCCAGCUAAGGUCCCAAAGUCAUGGUUAAGUGGGAAACGAUGUGGGAAGGCCCAGACAGCCAGGAUGUUGGCUUAGAAGCAGCCAUCAUUUAAAGAAAGCGUAAUAGCUCACUGGUCGAGUCGGCCUGCGCGGAAGAUGUAACGGGGCUAAACCAUGCACCGAAGCUGCGGCAGCGACGCUUAUGCGUUGUUGGGUAGGGGAGCGUUCUGUAAGCCUGUGAAGGUGUGCUGUGAGGUAUGCUGGAGGUAUCAGAAGUGCGAAUGCUGACAUAAGUAACGAUAAAGCGGGUGAAAAGCCCGCUCGCCGGAAGACCAAGGGUUCCUGUCCAACGUUAAUCGGGGCAGGGUGAGUCGACCCCUAAGGCGAGGCCGAAAGGCGUAGUCGAUGGGAAACAGGUUAAUAUUCCUGUACUUGGUGUUACUGCGAAGGGGGGACGGAGAAGGCUAUGUUGGCCGGGCGACGGUUGUCCCGGUUUAAGCGUGUAGGCUGGUUUUCCAGGCAAAUCCGGAAAAUCAAGGCCGAGGCGUGAUGACGAGGCACUACGGUGCUGAAGCAACAAAUGCCCUGCUUCCAGGAAAAGCCUCUAAGCAUCAGGUAACAUCAAAUCGUACCCCAAACCGACACAGGUGGUCAGGUAGAGAAUACCAAGGCGCUUGAGAGAACUCGGGUGAAGGAACUAGGCAAAAUGGUGCCGUAACUUCGGGAGAAGGCACGCUGAUACGUAGGUGAAGCGACUUGCUCGUGGAGCUGAAAUCAGUCGAAGAUACCAGCUGGCUGCAACUGUUUAUUAAAAACACAGCACUGUGCAAACACGAAAGUGGACGUAUACGGUGUGACGCCUGCCCGGUGCCGGAAGGUUAAUUGAUGGGGUUAGCGCAAGCGAAGCUCUUGAUCGAAGCCCCGGUAAACGGCGGCCGUAACUAUAACGGUCCUAAGGUAGCGAAAUUCCUUGUCGGGUAAGUUCCGACCUG
rnacentral:rRNA from 2 species